CUUUCGUCCUCACCUUGGCAAGUUUGUGGUGCCCUUGGUUACUCUAGUCAAGCAUUUUAACUGGAAAAUUGGGGUGAAACAUUGUUCUUCGAAUAGGUCUGCAGACAAUGAGAUGACUGGGUGUUUUCUUAAUCUCAUCACAUGCUAAAAAUAUUUUGUGUCAGGAGCAUACAGGUAGAUAAGGUCACCACACAAUGCCCUCCCAAACUGAUGCCAAGCCAAUUAGGCCAAUUAAGGUCAUUCAUAUUGCUUAAUGUAUAUAUGAUGCUACUGUCCAUUCUUCUAUUAGUACCAUCACAAUCAAAUCUUCUGUGUAAUGUUACUAUAUAUAUUGAUGUUGUUAGGGUAUGGUGGCAGGAUUACUAUGAGGGGCUUGGAGUUUAACCGUGCUAAUUCCUGAUAUACAUGCUCACAUGAUAAAUGAGAUACAAAUGUAGUUUAAUAUUAAUAUGAGGUGAAAAUAUGCUAUGUAGUUCAUCACUUUAGUCAGUAGUUACUGACCUACAACUAAUCCAUUUAACUUUUAUCUUUGGAUCGUUGUACAUGAACCACCAUAUUCAAAGUAUAACUGGUAUAUGCUCAUUACAAAUUUUUGCGGUGUUGUGUGUAUGCCAUUUUUAUUAGAUAUAUACAUUUCGAUAGUUGUUCGCUGAAUAAUCUGCAUGUUAUAUAGUGGCAAACUCCAAAAAAUAUGGUUGCCUCUGUGUAUUGAUCAGUGUGGUUUCACCAAGUAUGCAUCGUUACCUCUGUGUGCAUUGGUAUUUUUCCUAGGUGUUUGAGUUUCUUGAAUUUAUUUUCAGCCAUGUUAUGCCUCUAUGCCUAUAUUUUUUCAGGUUGCUAUAGGAGAAAGGCCAGGUAUAUCCUUUUGCAAAAUCUGUUUAGCAGUUGGUGUAACUGCAUAUUUGUGUAUCAGCCUAAGCUCCUCAACUUAAAUAAUUGGUGGCAGCGGAAGCAGCGUCCUCCGAUGGAUCUAGAGUACGAUGGCAAGCAUGAAACUCAAGAAAGUACCGAUGCAUGCCACUUUGGUAAAAGAUAUCUCACCUCGAUCUCAACGGAAUGCUCUUGUGCGUGUUUCGCUGAUCUGGGAGAACAAUGAUCAAGAACAUAAUGUGUAUGAAUUGGGGUUCAUUUCUGUUGACCAACUGGUACCUCCUAAAUGCUCGGUUUCUUGAUCCCCCAUGGUGACCUACACAUGAGAUUCAUGCAGUUAGGGAAGAAGCAGACUAAAAAAGGAAAAGUUCAGAGGAACUUGAUUAUAUCGAGGAAUCCAAUGGCUGCAUUUCCGAUCUGCGGACUUUCAGAUUCUUCGUUAUUGGAUUAAAUUUUCAGUAUGAUUUUUCUGUGCUCUUUUACUUUUGUCCGAUUAUUUUAUGGAAAGACUUAAUUUUUUUUUUACGACAACACGAUGGUUCAGAGGUGUGUGGUCUAUUUUGACGCAUUUUGAAUACUACUCUUUGAUCUAUCUCAUGUAUCUGAACUCGUUUUUGUGUUCUCCUUUUCUCUUAUCAAGUUCUUAUUCAGUAGCUCGCCUGCAAUCCAUGUGCUCAUUUCCACUAUUCUUUCUGUUUAUAUUUUUGUCUCAUGCCUUUUCUCCUUACCUAUAUAUUGUUUCAGACAUUGUAAAAUGCACCAUGGUUCAUGACUGCACUUUAUAUACAUGUUUUGAAAGGCUAAUAGUAUUGAUAUAUCAUGCGCGUGUGUUAAUUGAUGAUUCCCUUCUUCCUACAGUCGUUUUGGAAGGAUGACUAUUACCAUUCCUGCGGGGUGAACGACCCGAGUGACAAUGUCGGUUUGGCUGUUGCGGCUGCUCCUCAAAGCAGAGACUUCCAGGGCAGGUUAGCUUUCUCCACCUCCGCACUGGACACAUAUUGGUAAUACGUGAUACAUCUGUAAAUUAGGAUAUCAAAUCGAUGCUCCUAUUAUAAUCAUUUUCUUUGCCUUUGUGUUGUCACUUGGCCCUGUCAACUUCCAGAGUUUGAGCACGUCUAGGACUGGCUCUAACCCUGCCUUGAAUGACACUGGUUGAGGAGGUCGUCCGGUUUGUUUGUUUGAAUUUUUUAUGGCUUUGGAUGUGAUAUUUUUCUCCUUCCGACUAAUAUGAAUAUCUUCCAUAGUUAUGCAUACUUAUUAUUGUUUCCUCUUUCUACUCAUUCUGAUCCAGUCAAACUGUCUAUGGGGAUGAAGUUCCAUUUAAUUUUGCUGCCGUCAUGCCAUCAGAUGAGCCUACGUGCUUAUUCGCAUUAAAUUUGUGUAUAGCAGAUUUCGCUGUAUCCAAGACUGAAACUUAAGUAUAUUAUUCUACAAUGAAUCAGAAGUAUGUCUCACUCAUGUGAGGCUUAUACAUCAGGGAUAUUCCUAUACAAUUACAUUCAAGUCAGUACUAACUUUUGCUACUCUACAGGUCAAAAAAAACUUCUGCUACUCUAGGGGUUUAUAAAUAUUGAUGACAGUGAUUCUUGUGCUCAGAUUAUCCAAUGAUUAUGGUUUAAGUUGUGUGAUGUGAUUGUUGUCGAUGCAAAGAUCAAACAAAAUGCUCAUGUCGGCCAAAAAUAAGGGGAGAUUAUCCUCCAUGUCUGAGAGGUAAAAGAUGGGUCUGCAUUGAUCUGUUUGUAUCAUUAUCCUAAUUUAAUAUUGUCAAAUCCAGUUAUUUCACAUUGUGGUGAUCGGCUUGAACAUACUAUUAUUUUAAUCAGCUGAUGGGUCAGACUGUAUAAUGAAAUAUGGCAGGUUUUUCUUUGUCUUAAGAAAUUAUUUAUGAUUUUCA